rnacentral:rRNA from 1 species
CGCGGCCUAUCAGCUUGUUGGUGGGGUAAUGGCCUACCAAGGCGACGACGGGUAGCCGGCCUGAGAGGGUGACCGGCCACACUGGGACUGAGAUACGGCCCAGACUCCUACGGGAGGCGGCAGUGGGGAAUAUUGCACAAUGGGCGCAAGCCUGAUGCAGCGACGCCGCGUGAGGGAUGACGGCCUUCGGGUUGUAAACCUCUUUCAGCACAGACGAAGCGCAAGUGACGGUAUGUGCAGAAGAAGGACCGGCCAACUACGUGCCAGCAGCCGCGGUAAUACGUAGGGUCCGAGCGUUGUCCGGAAUUACUGGGCGUAAAGAGCUCGUAGGUGGUUUGUCGCGUUGUUCGUGAAAACCCACAGCUUAACUGUGGGCGUGCGGGCGAUACGGGCAGACUUGAGUACUGCAGGGGAGACUGGAAUUCCUGGUGUAGCGGUGGAAUGCGCAGAUAUCAGGAGGAACACCGGUGGCGAAGGCGGGUCUCUGGGCAGUAACUGACGCUGAGGAGCGAAAGCGUGGGGAGCGAACAGGAUUAGAUACCCUGGUAGUCCACGCCGUAAACGGUGGGUACUAGGUGUGGGUUUCCUUCCUUGGGAUCCGUGCCGUAGCUAACGCAUUAAGUACCCCGCCUGGGGAGUACGG